rnacentral:rRNA from 1 species
CACGUGGGUAACCUACCUAUAAGACUGGAAUAACUCCGGGAAACCGGGGCUAAUGCCGGAUAACAUAUAGAACCGCAUGGUUCUAUAGUGAAAGAUGGUUUUGCUAUCACUUAUAGAUGGACCCGCGCCGUAUUAGCUAGUUGGUAAGGUAACGGCUUACCAAGGCGACGAUACGUAGCCGACCUGAGAGGGUGAUCGGCCACACUGGAACUGAGACACGGUCCAGACUCCUACGGGAGGCAGCAGUAGGGAAUCUUCCGCAAUGGGCGAAAGCCUGACGGAGCAACGCCGCGUGAGUGAUGAAGGGUUUCGGCUCGUAAAACUCUGUUAUUAGGGAAGAACAUAUGUGUAAGUAACUGUGCACAUCUUGACGGUACCUAAUCAGAAAGCCACGGCUAACUACGUGCCAGCAGCCGCGGUAAUACGUAGGUGGCAAGCGUUAUCCGGAAUUAUUGGGCGUAAAGCGCGCGUAGGCGGUUUCUUAAGUCUGAUGUGAAAGCCCACGGCUCAACCGUGGAGGGUCAUUGGAAACUGGGAAACUUGAGUGCAGAAGAGGAAAGUGGAAUUCCAUGUGUAGCGGUGAAAUGCGCAGAGAUAUGGAGGAACACCAGUGGCGAAGGC